rnacentral:lncRNA from 1 species
GGUAAAGUGGCCUGAUGGCUCCAACUGACUCUCAAAUAGUCAGAAAAAAUAAUAUGCACAUGUACGAAAAGACACGAAGAGAGAUGGACUGAGGAGGCAAACAGGUCAAAAUGUAAACAACUGCUGUGCAAAGGUGAAGGGCAGUGGGAGACAUUCACACUAUUCUUACAACCCUUCAACCUACCUCAAAAUGAAAAAUUACCCAUAAGCCUGAGCAAAAAGAUCAGUUUAAGAAGGAAUGAGUUAAAAAUGGCAAAAAUGGAGAUCAGAAAAUAUGUAUGAACAAACAAAACUACAAAAACAAGUAGUUUUUGCCAGGUCUGACCCACAGACUCUGGCAGAGUGACGGAUGAAAAAAUGUCCACAGACACAGGUUUUUUAGUCUGGUCACAUGGCUAGGGGACCAGGCCACUCACAGACACCAAGGGGGUGCCAUAAGGAGUCACAGCAGCUGCAGAGCUGACAAGCUGGCCCUGUGGGCAUUUAUUUAGUACAGAUUUAAUGACAAAGGCUUUGAGUCAACACAACUUGUGGGUAAUUAACGUGGUUGCUGCACCCCACCCUCAAUGCCCUCAGAGAGAGCAGUCCUGGGUGCAGAUGAUUAAAGGCCAGGUUCUGAGGCCUAAGUAAACUAACUUAUCUAGAUUAAUUCCCCUACACUUACUUAUCUACGUUUUGUUCUCAGCCUCUGGAUAAGAGAACUUGGCUGCCUUCAGCCAAAUUAUCUUUCAAAGCUUUUGCAAAACCUCCUGGCCUUCCAAGAAGGUUUGCAUCUUUUCCUAUAAUUUCUUCCUAUAAUUUAUUCUACCACCCUGACCCAACUCCUACAAGCUUUUAUUUCCUCUUUAGAUGUGUGCAUGGAAUCAUGUUGGUCAACUUAUCAAAGUUAUAGGAUGUUGAAAACACUGCCAUCAUCUCAUCCAGGGUAACAAUAUCUACUAAAAAAGAAGCCUGGCCAGGCAUGGUGGCUCACGUCUGUAAUCCCAGCAUUUUGAGAGAGGCAGAGGCAGGCGGAUUGCUUGAGCCCAUGAGUUUGAGACUAGCCUGGGCAACAUGUGAAACAAAGAGAAAGAGAAAGAAACCCAAUUGACAUAAAUAAAGAAAAAUCAUAGAAGACAUAAGCAUUAGGCAGUAUUAUGUUAUAAACUGAGUUAUUAGUUUUAGUUUGGAAAAUCUAAAAUAGUCCUGGUUCAAUGGCUUCUUUGUUGAACAGACCAUUGUUAUGAGCCAUAAUGUGUUCAUCUUUUUACCCCUAUCUAUAGAAUUCCAAAGACAGCUUUCCUCUUUGUGAUGUUUUGGAAACACGUCACAUUGGGAAUGUUUAUUUCUACUGGUGAACAAAUUUGUAUAACUUAUUAGAGAAACAAUUUGGUAAUAUAUAUAAAAAGCUUUAAAAUAUGGCUUUUGAUUUAUUAUUUUAGAAAUCUGUCUGGACACCUUAAGUGCUACAAGAAAACUGAAGCACAAACAGGUUUAUAAGGGUGAAAAUUUCAAAUAAUCCAUAUAUACAAAACCAAGAAAUGGUUUAGCAAACAGAGGAAAACGGAAAAUCAUGCAAUAGUUAAAAUUAUGUUUAUGGAUAAUUUUUUAAACAGGAAAAAGAUAAAAUUUUAAAAGUAAUAUAUAAAAUGUAUUGCACAAUAUAAUUGUAAUCACCUUAAUUUGUAAAAAGACUUUAGGAAACAUCAUGUUUUUCUUUAUACUAUGAUAUAUUUCCAAAUCAGCCUGUCAAAGAAUGAUAGACACAUAUAUAUACUAAGAAUAUACAAUAAUACAUAACACUCCACUAUCUAGUAGGAAAAGUGACAAUGGCUUAUCUGAUAUUUUCUUUAAUAAUUAAGACAAGAAGAAGUUGUGUUAAAAAGUAUUUGGUAAACUAUAGACAAUUUGCUAAAGUAAGCACCAGAGAAAAAUUGAAAAGAGAGUUUUUGUUGUCAUUUUUAAAGAAUAUGUGUUCAUGCCAAAAUUCUAAAGCAACUACCUAGUGUUCGUUUUUUAAAGGGUAUUUAUAAAUGGUCUAGAGAGAGAUAUUUUAUUUUUAUAUUCUUAGAGUACAGCACACAUGUGAAAUAGAAUCAAAAUAAUAUCAAGCUAGUUGUUUUGUGAAAAAAAUUGUAUCUGCAUGUGGGUAGGCUUUGAAUAACGUCUUGAUAAGAUUUUUACAGCAGAAAUAACAUUUAAAGUCAUCUAAAAUAUCAACAUUUUCCCCUAAAGCCAUUUGUAUCCCAGAAAUUUAACCAACAGCGAAUCUUCAGAAGGCGAUUUAGCACACAAGAUCACCUUCGCUCUAUUGUGCAGUAUUGUUUGGGUGGUAAAGGAGAAGCCUGACAGUGUAUUAAAUAAAACUUCAAAAUACCCCUUUUAUUCUUUUCUACUAGUACAUACUCCCUAACUUCAGCCCCCAGAUUUUAGGCGUAUGUAUCAAUCACUUAAGGGGAAAAAGAUCACCAGAUUUCUCCAUUAACUUAUGUUCUUUGUGUCAUUUCAAAGCACACAUGUGUCAACAAUCACAAAAUAGCAACCUGAUUAGAAAAUGGGCAAACAGCUUGAAUAGACAAUUUUCCAAAGAUGACCUAAAACUGGCCAACAAACCACAUUAAAAGAUGCUCAACAUCACUAAUUAUUAGAGAAAUGCAAAUCACAACCACAAUGAGAUACUACGUCACACUCAUUAGUACCGUGUCUGGAAAUGGUGGGUUCUUGGUCUCACCGACUUCAAGAAUGAAGUUGCAGACCCUCGCCGUGAGUGUUACAGUUCUUAAAGACAGCAUAUCCAGAGCUUGUUCCUUCUGAUGUUCGGACCUGUUCAAAGGUUCUUCCUUCUGGUGGGUUUGUGGUCUUGCUAGCUUCAGGAGUAAAGCUGCAGACCUUCCCAUUAAGUGUUACAGCUCUUAAGGCGGCCCCUCUGGAGUUGUUUGCUCUGCCCGUCUGAAGUUGUUCAUUCCUCCCAGCGGGGGUGGGUUUGUGGUUUGAAGCUGCAGACCUUCACAGUGAGUGUUACAGCCCGUAAAGGUAAAGCACACCUAAAAAGUGAGCAGCAGCAAGAUUUAUUGCAAAGAACAAAACUUCCAGGAAAGGACUGCAGCAGGUUACCUCUACUAGCUGGGGCAGCCUGCUUUUAUUCCCUUAUCUGGCCCCACCCACAUCCUGCUGAUUGGUCCAUUUUACAGAAAGCUGAUUGGUCCAUUUUACAGAGAGCUAAUUGGUCCGUCUUGACAGGGUGCUGAUUGGUGCGUUUACAAACCUUGAGCUAGACUCAGAGUGCUAAUUGGUGCAUUUACGAUCCUCUAGCUAGACAUAAAAGUUCUCCAAGUCCUCACCAGAUUAGCUAGAUACAGAGUGCUAAUUGGUGCAUCCAGAAACUCGAGCUAGACACAGAGUGCUGAUUGGUGCAUUUACAAUCCUCUACCUAGACAUAAAAGUUCUCCAAGUCCCCACCGGACUCAGGAACCCAGCUGGUUUCGCCUGGUGGUUCCCGUGCCUGGGCCGCUGGCAGAGCUGCCCGCCAGUUCCCAGCCAUGCGCCCAGCACUCCUCAGCCUUUGGGCGGUUGAUGAGAGCAGGCGCCACGGAGCAGGGGGCGGUGCCCGUUGGGGAGGCUUCGGCAGCGCGGGAGCCCACGGUGGGGCGGGGGGUGUCAGGCAUGGCAGACCACAGUUCUAGAGCCCUGCCCCGCAGGGAGGUGGCUGAGACCCGCAAGAAUUUGAGCGUGGUGCGGGAGGGCCGGCAGUGCUGGGGGACCCAGUGCACCCUCUGCAGCUGCAGGCCCAGAUGCUAAGCCCCUCACUGCCCGGGCUGGCGGUGCUGGCUGGCCACUCCCAGUGUGGGGCCCGCCGAGCCUGUGCCCACCUCCCACCAGCACUGUGCACAGCCCUGGUUCCCGCCUGCGCCUCUCCCUCCACACCUCAAGGCAAGCAGAGGGAGCCGGCUCUGGCCUCUGCCAGCCCAGAGAGGGGCUUCCACAGUGCAGCAGCGGGCUGAAGGGCUCCUCAAUCGCGGCCAGAGUGGAGGCCCAGGCCGAGGAGGCACUGAGAGCCAGCAAGGGCUGCUAGCAUGUUGUCACCUCUCAGUAUGGCCAUUAUCAAAAUAACAGAAGGUGCUAUAUGAUUCCACUAAUAUGAGGUAUCUCAAGUAGUCAAAGUUGUAGAAACAGAAAAUAGAGAGGUGAAGGGCUGGGGGGUUGGGAAAAGAAAAGGAAUUAGUUCUUAGUGGGCAUAAAGUUUCACUUCUGCAAAAUGAAAAAGUCUAGGUACCUGUUGCACAACAGUGUAAAUAUACUUGACAGUGCCAACCUGUUCACUUGAAAAGUUUAAAAUGAUAAAGUUCAUGUUAUAUGAUUGUGACUACCAUUAAAAAUAAAAUAAAAAAUUUAAAAGCACAUGUAUGCUUGCCAACUUUGGGACAUAAUUACCCAGAAUAGUAGAAGCUUUAUGACAUCAGGUUAAAAAAAUAAUAGCGAAACUGAGGGUCCUCUGGUUUCCGUCCCAGGACUGCCCUCAUCAGUUUCAAGUUGCUACCUGCAUUGCCCGGUGACAGCCACUCGUCUUUCUGUUCCACUGCACUUGUUUCUUUUUCUUUCUUUCUUUCUUUUUUUUUUUUUUUUUAAGACAGAGUCUCCUGGGUUCAAGCAAUUCUCCUGCCUCAGCCUCCCAAGUAGCUGGGACUACAGGCACACACCACCACACCUGGCUAAUUUUUGUGUUUUUAGUAGAGACAGGGUUUUACCAUGUUGGUCAGGCUGGUCUCAAACUCCUGACCUCGUGAUCCACCCCUCUU